CGGCGGACGGGUGAGUAAUGUCUGGGAAACUGCCUGAUGGAGGGGGAGUAACUACUGGAAACGGUAGCUAAUACCGCAUAACGUCGCAAGACCAAAGAGGGGGACCUUCGGGCCUCUUGCCAUCAGAUGUGCCCAGAUGGGAUUAGCUAGUAGGUGGGGUAACGGCUCACCUAGGCGACGAUCCCUAGCUGGUCUGAGAGGAUGACCAGCCACACUGGAACUGAGACACGGUCCAGACUCCUACGGGAGGCAGCAUG
rnacentral:rRNA from 1 species